rnacentral:rRNA from 1 species
GGCCUAACACAUGCAAGUCGAGGGGUAGAAGAGGCUUGCUUCUUUGAGACCGGCGCACGGGUGCGUAACGCGUAUGCAACCUACCUUGACCUGGGGGAUAGCCCGGAGAAAUCCGGAUUAAUACCGCAUAAAAUCACAGUACGGCAUCGUACAAUGAUCAAACAUUCAUGGGGACAAGAUGGGCAUGCGUGCCAUUAGCUAGUUGGCGGGGUAACGGCCCACCAAGGCUACGAUGGCUAGGGGAUCUGAGAGGAUGGCCCCCCACACUGGUACUGAGACACGGACCAGACUCCUACGGGAGGCAGCAGUAAGGAAUAUUGGUCAAUGGAGGCAACUCUGAACCAGCCAUGCCGCGUGCAGGAAGACGGCCCUCUGGGUUGUAAACUGCUUUUAUCCGGGAAUAAACCUAUCUACGUGUAGAUAGCUGAACGUACCGGAAGAAUAAGGAUC